GUCGAUGGCCAUACCACCCUGAACAAGCCCCAUCCCAUCUGAUCUCGGAAGCUAAGCAGGAUCGGGCCUGGUUAGUACUUGGAUGGGAGACCACUCAGGAUGACCGGGUGCUGUAGGCG
rnacentral:rRNA from 1 species